UACGGAGGGUGCGAGCGUUGUCCGGAAUCACUGGGCGUAAAGGGCGCGUAGGCGGCGCGGGAAGUCAUCGGUGAAAGUUCAGGGCUCAACUCUGAAUCGGCCGGUGAUACUCUCGUGCUCGAGCACUGUAGAGGCAGGUGGAAUUCCGGGUGUAGCGGUGGAAUGCGUAGAGAUCCGGAAGAACACCGGUGGCGAAGGCGGCGCUCUGGACCGAGACUGACGCUGAGGCGCGAAAGCGUGGGGAGCAAACAGG
rnacentral:rRNA from 1 species